rnacentral:lncRNA from 1 species
GCUGGAGUGGAGUGGCGCGAUCUCGGCUCACUGCAAGCUCUGCCUCCUGGAUUCACACCAUUCUCCCCCCUUCAGCCGCCAGAAAGCAAACUCCAAAUGGUGCUGCAGACAGAACCACCUACGGACACACCUUUCUUCUGAGGACCCAUAGAUCGACCCCAGGAGGAGCCCUAAGUGCUGUUCCCAGCACAACACUUCUUUUCAGCGGGAAGUAGCCAGAAAGAGUCGUCGUUUAACACCCCCUAAUGGCAGUUAGGGAUACCACUCUUGAGGAAUGUGUCACUAGUAGACAUAGUUAUAAAGACUUGCUAAAGGAAGUUUUUAAUAGACAAUCCCCAUUUGAGUUUUAUAUGUCAUACUUGAUACUUGAAACAAAAAUUAUAACAGCACUUGAUAUUCAAAGCAAUUAUAUUUAAAAGUGUAAAAAAUAAAAGGACUUAAAUGGGAGUAAUAUUUCCAUACUUCAAAGUCAUAUAUCAGUAGAAUGAGAUAUAUUGUAAUAUCCACAGCGACUACUACAAAAACUACAUACUUAAAGUGUGUACCUCUCUAAAAACACCAUAAGUAAAUCAAAAUGAAUUUUUUUUUUAAAAUGUUUAACCUACAGGAAGGCAAAAAAACAACAACAAAGAAACAGGAACAAAACCAGAGGAAGCAAACAGAAAAUAAUAAAAUAGCAUACUUAAGCUCUAAGGUAUCAAGAAUUGCCUUAAGUGUAAAUAAUAUGCAUACAGUGAUCAAAAGGCAGAGAUUGACAGUGUGUUAAGUAUGAGUAGUGGGGAGAAACAAAGAUUAUUUUAGAAAAUGACCUAACUAAAUUCUGUCUACAAAAACUCACUUCAAAUUCAAUGACAGGUAGGUCGAAAGUAAAAGAGUGAAAAAUGUAUAUUAUGCAAACAAUAAUCAAAAGAAAGCAGGAGUGGGUGUAUUAAAACUGGAAAAGGUGGCCAGGCGCGGUGGCUUACGCCUAUAAUCCCAGCACUUUAGGAGGCCAAGGUGGGUGGAUUGCCUGAGCUCAGGAGUUCACAACCGGCCUGGGCAACAUGGUGAAACCCCAUCUCUACUAAAAGACAAAAAAUUAGCUGGGCAUGGCAGUGUGCACCUGUAGUCCCAGCUACUCAGGAGACUGAGGCAGGAGAAUUGCUAGAACCUGGGAGGCGGAGGUUGCAGUGAGCUGAGAUCGCCGCACUGCACUCCAUUCUGGGCAACAGAGUGAGACUUGUCUCAAAAGAAAAAAAAUAAACUGGAAAAGGUAAACUUAUAAAGCAAAUAAAAUUACCAGAGACAGAAAGGAACAUUAAUUACAGAAAUCUGGGGCUGCCUGAGGGCCAUUAGCACAUGUGCUUAAGAAUAAAAAAGUCUACUUUAAGCUCAGAGCAGAGAAAGAUAUCCCUUCACAAAGUAGUGAGUCCAGCACUUUAUCUCUUGGUAAGAACAUGUUCCAGGCUCAAGACACAUUAUUUGGCAAAGCAGAGGUCCAAAGACUGCCUGCACAAAGUGCCUUUCCCAAUGAUAUCUAUAUACAAAAACAUGAACCAAACCAAAACAAUUUAGAGCUGACCUCACACAUGACACAACAUACAUGCCAGUGAAUCAAAGGGCUGUUGAAAUCAAAAUAAAGAUGUAGAGCUGAAUCUCUAAAUUUAAUGUUAAGAAAGAAUUGCAAUUUGAAGCAUACGUAUAGAUUGGGUGGUCUUUGGUAUGUCCAAAAAGCAGAAGGUUGGGAGUUUUAUAUUACUACAAAAGAGGAAUGUGACAUGUAUUCCAGAGAGAAAAUGUACUGUUUUUAGUAAAGCUUUGAUUUGACUCUCUUACCUGGGUCCAGCACUUAGGUGAUUUGGCUCUCUUACCUGGGUGCAAUGUUGCAGGGCCUAGGUUAUUUGACUUUCUACCUGGUCCUGGCUGACAGGUCGGAUUAUGACAUAUACAGGGGCCCAGCACCUGGGUGACUUCUACCUUGGCCAUGCCCAAAGGUGAGAUUGUGACAUAUACUUGGGCCUGGCACCUAGGUGAUUUUACCCUCAUACAUGGGCAAAGCCCACAGGGAAGAUGGUAACUCAUUUCUGAACCCAGCUCACUGGCCAUAUGAUGACUCUCAAACCUGGACCCAGCUAGUAGGAGAGAUUUUGAUUCUCAUACCUGGACUAGGAACACAGUUAAGAUCAUGAGUCUCAUAGCUAUAUGAAAGUAUCAGAGAAAAUUGUGAUUCACUUACCUACUAUAUAAAGCCCUCAAGUGGUACACAGUGUCAUAAUAGGGCCUACCUCAUAGGUCAGAGUGUAACUCUUCUAUGCACACCAAGCCAACAGCUAGUAUUGUCACACUCAUAUAUGCACACAGCCUGCUGCUGAGGUUUUUAAUCUCACAUCCAGAUGCAGUCAAAAGUUGCAAUUGUGACUCAUACAUGGAUCUGGUCCACAGGUGGAAUGGUGACUCAUUUCUGUACUAAGGCCACAGAGAGAAUUGUGACUCCCAUGCCUACUGUAUAAAGCUCUUGGGUGGUACAGAGAGUGUCAUAACAGGACCCAGCACACAGGUGAGAUUGUGACUCUGAUAUGCACAUCCAACAAACUCUUAGGACUGUCACCCUCACACAAGGACACAGCCUAUUCAGGUGAGGUUCUGAAUCUCACACCCAAACACAAUGGAAAGGCUGAUUUGACUCAUUUGGGCUGGAGGAAAUGGAAAUAACUUUUACCUCAUUUGCAUUUGUGACUUUUUCACAUAGAAAUAUUUACAAAUGGACAUUAUAGACAUUCAUAUAAUCAUGUAUGUGCAUAUGUGUAUGUGUUUAUGUACCUACCUACCUAUAUCUAUAUAUCUACCAAAACAGCCAAGCAGAAAAAAACCUAGGUUGGAAGUCAUUUUUCUGUCACUCCUCUUGAGCCCAGGUGAAUCAAUUCAGCCAGUUAGUUCAGUUAAAGUAAAUCAAAUCAGAGCCAUGCAUGGCUUCCCAAUUUUCUUGCACCUGUGAAAAUAUCCUCCCAACCUGGUACCCAAGUGUUUUAAAAUCAGGAGCUCAUCAAAUUAGCUCAGUGGGGUACUGGCCAGCCAGCUAAGACUGGGCAGAGCUGGCUGACACCAGUGGGUGUAGCAUUCAACACAAUAAUUCUUUGACUUGGCCAACACGUGUCACUUUUGGUACUUCAGUGACUGAUGAUUCUGGCCUG